GAUGAACGCUGGCGGCGUGCCUAAUACAUGCAAGUCGAGCGAACAGACGAGGAGCUUGCUCCUCUGACGUUAGCGGCGGACGGGUGAGUAACACGUGGAUAACCUACCUAUAAGACUGGGAUAACUUCGGGAAACCGGAGCUAAUACCGGAUAAUAUAUUGAACCGCAUGGUUCAAUAGUGAAAGACGGUUUUGCUGUCACUUAUAGAUGGAUCCGCGCCGCAUUAGCUAGUUGGUAAGGUAACGGCUUGCCAAGGCAACGAUGCGUAGCCGACCUGAGAGGGUGAUCGGCAACACUGGAACUGAGACACGGUCCAGACUCCUACGGGAGGCAGCAGUAGGGAAUCUUCCGCAAUGGGCGAAAGCCUGACGGAGCAACGCCGCGUGAGUGAUGAAGGUCUUCGGAUCGUAAAACUCUGUUAUUAGGGAAGAACAAAUGUGUAAGUAACUAUGCACGUCUUGACGGUACCUAAUCAGAAAGCCACGGCUAACUACGUG
rnacentral:rRNA from 1 species